rnacentral:lncRNA from 10 species
CUGGCAUGGUCAGCUAGACAUCCCUUAAGAAAUUCUAUUUGGGGUGGCUGGACAUGGUGGCUCAUGCCUGUAAUUCCAGCACUUUGGGAGGCUGAGGCAGGUGGAUCAGCUGAGGUGAGGAGUUCGAGACAAGCCUGGGCCACAUGGCAAAACCCCAUUUUUACUAAAAAAAAAAAAAAAAAAAAUUAGCUGGGGCUGGUGGUGUGCACCUGUAUUCCUAGCUACACAGGAGGCUGAGGCAGGAGAAUCACUUGAACCAGCGGGGGCAGAGGCUGCAGUGAGCUGAGAUCAUGCCACUGCACUCCAGCCUGGGUGACAGAGCGAGACUCUGUCUUAAAAAAACAAAAAAAGAAAAAAAAGAUAAAUUAAACUUGUUAAAAUAUAUAGUGAGCAGGGCAUGGUGGAGCAUGCCUGUAUUCCCAGCUACUCAGGGGGCUGAGGCAGGAGGAUUACUUGAGACUAGGAGUUCGAGGCCAGCCUGAGCAACACAGCAAUACCCCAUCUCUAAAAAAAAUAUGUAUGUAGGCCGGGUGCAGUGUCAAACGUCUUUAGUCCCACCACUUUGCGAGGUCAAGGUGGGUAGAUUGCUUGAGCUCAGGAGUCCCAGACCAGCCUGAUCAACAUGGCAAAACCCCAUCUCUACAAAAAAAAAAAAAUACAAAAAUUAGCUGGGCUUGGUGGCGUGUGCCUGUAGUCCCAGCUAGUGGGGAGGCUGAGGCAGGAGAAUCACUUUAAUUCGAGAAAUAGAGGCUGCAGUGGGCUGUGAUUGCACCACUGCGCUCCAGCCUGGGUGACAGCGAGACCCUAUCUCAAAUAUAUAUAUAAUAUAUAUAUAUAAAACAUAUAUAAUAUAUAUUACAUAUAUUAUAUAUACACACACAGAUAUAUACACACACAUAUCUAUGUAUGUAUAUGCAUACAUGUAUACACACAUAUAUAAAUACAUGUAUAC